ACUUUGGUGGUUUAGUGGUAGAAUUCUCCCAUUCCAUGCGGGAGACCUGGGUUCUAUUCCCAGCCAGUA
rnacentral:tRNA from 1 species